rnacentral:tmRNA from 1 species
AAACUUGCAAUUUCCACUAUAAAGAUUAUAAUCAUUCUAUCACUUAUGUGAUGAUGAUUCUGAACCCGAUGCGGAAUAGUCGUUUUGGACCCGGGGGCGGUACCCGGCACCUCCACCAAUAAAACAUACGGGGGUGUAACAGUUUCGACAGACGCAAUAAAGGCAUAUGGCUGAAUCCGACAUGGUUGUCGUAAAAUACCAAUAAAAUAUGAAUGCGAACGAUAAUGUUCGUCUUGCAAUGGCUGCCUAAUAAUGGCUUGGACGCGGUCGGCGAUUGUUGACCAUGUCCGUUUUAGCUUUUGCGGGGCCCGCCGGGUGCCUGGCACCAGAAAUCCCGGCA